AUUGAACGCUAGCGGGAUGCUUUACACAUGCAAGUCGAACGAGCGGCGGACGGGUGAGUAAUGUAUGGGGACUGCCCGAUAGAGGGGGAUAACUACUGGAAACGGUAGCUAAUACCGCAUACUAUCGGAUAACCCAUAUGGGAUUAGCUAGUAGGUGAGGUAAUGGCUCACCUAGGCGACGAUCCCUAGCUGGUUUGAGAGGACGACCAGCAACAUGGGUACUGAGACACGGCCCAUACUCCGACGGAGGCAGCAGUGGGGAAUAUUGCACAAUGGGCGAAAGCCUGAUGCAGCCAUGCCGCGUGUAUGAAGAAGGCCCUAGGGUUGUAAAGUACUUUCAGUCGGGAGGCGUUACCGACAGAAGAAGCACCGGCUAACUCCGUGCCAGCAGCCGCGGUAAUAC
rnacentral:rRNA from 1 species